rnacentral:rRNA from 1 species
GCCUGAUGGAUGGGGAUAACUACUGGAAACGGUAGCUAAUACCGCAUAACGUCGCAAGACCAAAGUGGGGGACCUUCGGGCCUCAUGCCAUCAGAUGUGCCCAGAUGGGAUUAGCUAGUAGGUGGGGUAACGGCUCACCUAGGCGACGAUCCCUAGCUGGUCUGAGAGGAUGACCAGCCACACUGGAACUGAGACACGGUCCAGACUCCUACGGGAGGCAGCAGUGGGGAAUAUUGCACAAUGGGCGCAAGCCUGAUGCAGCCAUGCCGCGUGUGUGAAGAAGGCCUUCGGGUUGUAAAGCACUUUCAGCGGGGAGGAAGGCGAUAAGGUUAAUAACCUUGUCGAUUGACGUUACCCGCAGAAGAAGCACCGGCUAACUCCGUGCCAGCAGCCGCGGUAAUACGGAGGGUGCAAGCGUUAAUCGGAAUUACUGGGCGUAAAGCGCACGCAGGCGGUCUGUCAAGUCGGAUGUGAAAUCCCCGGGCUCAACCUGGGAACUGCAUUCGAAACUGGCAGGCUAGAGUCUUGUAGAGGGGGGUAGAAUUUCCAGGUGUAGCGGUGAAAAUUGCGUAGAGAUCUGGAGGAAUACCGGUGGCGAAGGCGGCCCCCCUGGACAAAGACUGACGCUCAGGUGCGAAAGCGUGGGGAGCAAACAGGAUUAGAUACCCUGGUAGUCCACGCUGUAAACGAUGUCGAUUUGGAGGUUGUGCCCUUUGAGGCGUGGCUUCCGGAGCUAACGCGUUAAAUCGACCGCCUGGGGAGUACGGCCGCAAGGUUAAAACUCAAAUGAAUUGACGGGGGCCCGCACAAGCGGUGGAGCAUGUGGUUUAAUUCGAUGCAACGCGAAGAACCUUACCUGGUCUUGACAUCCACAGAACUUUCCAGAGAUGGAUUGGUGCCUUCGGGAACUGUGAGACAGGUGCUGCAUGGCUGUCGUCAGCUCGUGUUGUGAAAUGUUGGGUUAAGUCCCGCAACGAGCGCAACCCUUAUCCUUUGUUGCCAGCGGUCCGGCCGGGAACUCAAAGGAGACUGCCAGUGAUAAACUGGAGGAAGGUGGGGAUGACGUCAAGUCAUCAUGGCCCUUACGACCAGGGCUACACACGUGCUACAAUGGCAUAUACAAAGAGAAGCGACCUCGCGAGAGCAAGCGGACCUCAUAAAGUAUGUCGUAGUCCGGAUUGGAGUCUGCAACUCGACUCCAUGAAGUC